CAGAACAGAUGCAAAAACACUGACUCUUCCUCUGCCCCUUAAACUGAAAGUCCUGGGCAUUUGGGGCCUGCAGACCCUGAUCCCCUGACUUGCACACUCUCAACUUCCUUCUGCUCUUUGGGAUCUUUUGUUCCUGCUUCCAGGAUCCAAGAUGAACUAGCAUCCCCCAGAGACCAUCCACUGCUGCUCCUGAUGAAGGAUGCUGGUUGCCUUGGGGGUCCUCACCUGUCCCAGAAGACUACAGAUCAGGCACCCUGAGGUGAGUAGUUUCUUGCCUCACACCACCAUGAUGCUCUGCCUCCUCAUAGGCCCAAAGGAACAAAGCCAAAGCUAAGUGACCAUGCACUGAUACUCCUGAAACUAGACAGCCUGAAAAUCCCAUAUGCCCUGAGACUGGGUUUGUUUUAUUCAUUGCUACAUCCUAAAGUCUUCAGGAAAUGCCCAGUUCCAGACAGACCUUCUACAAAGUUUAUUCUUUCAUGUUGACAAAAUGAAUGCCCAAAGAGCCAGGAUGAACCAGGAGCUAUCAAUAGCUUUCUAAAAGUCUUCAACACCAGGCUGCAGAGCCAGCAAAGCAUUUCACCUCCUGGGAAAGCCAGAAAUUCUCACCUCCUUGUAGGAAAUACUACAGUAUCUACAACCCACUCAGUUAAGAAUUUGUCUCUCUGGCCCUCAAGUUCCACUGGGAAGCCUGCCAGAUCUCAAGAAAGUGAAUGGAGUAAAAAAGAAGAGGAAGGAUGAAUGAGAAAUUUCAAAACAGGGGACAUA